rnacentral:lncRNA from 1 species
GGCUCCGGGCGGGGAAGGGGUGUGGAGUCUGUUGGCGGCUUCUGGAGCCAGACUGGACUCUGAUCCCGGAGCUCGUCCUUUCCCGUGCGAGCCUUCUCCGGACGCUUUAGGGAGGACCUUUGCAGUCGGCCCUGGGGGCGCGGGCUGCUGGCGUCCUCCUCGUCCUCCCCCCGCCCUCCUCCUCCUCCUCCUCUUCUUCCCUUGGCCUGAAAUAGAGAAGUUUCUGAGAGAGGACCGUUUGGACCGCGAGGUUGGCGGGAUGCAGUGAGGCACGCAAUGGCCGGCCUCACAAUGUUGCUCUGACUGGCUGAAGCAACGUAUGCGAGAAGCUGGGAUCUUUCUUAACCCACACCAGAGACAAGUGCUCGCAAAGACAUACCUGAAAUCAUUCACCAACAAAACUCGGAAGCAUGUAAAAACAAAGCAGUUGCUGUUUCUAAAUACCAGAAUGCAAUCCUUUCAAGCAUCUAGAUGGAGCCCAUGAGCUCCAAGCAGAGCAGGUCUCAUUAUAUACCCCAGGCUAGUGACCUAACUUUGAACUGAUUCAGGCAACAGGAAACGCUAAACAAUUCACUCUUCAGAUCUAAAAACCUUAAUAUCUAAUCCCAGCACUUCAGAGAUGGAGGCAGGCAGAUCUGAAGUGCAAGGUCAUCUCUGGUUACAUAUAAAUGACACAACCUCGGGGUUCGACGUGUGAUAAGGUAUCCUGUAACUACUCUUUGUACCGCUGGGAUCUACCCUGCUUCACUGGAUGACAUGCAGCCUUUUCUCUUAGCAACUGCAUGAAUAAACAUCCAAGAGAA